CUACGGGGGGCAGCAGUGGGGAAUAUUGGACAAUGGGCGCAAGCCUGAUCCAGCAAUACCGCGUGGGUGAUGAAGGUCUUCGGAUUGUAAAGCCCUUUUAGUGGAGAAGAUAAUGACGGUAUCCACAGAAAAAGCACCGGCAAACUUCGUGCCAGCAGCCGCGGUAAUACGAAGGGUGCUAGCGUUGUUCGGAAUCACUGGGCGUAAAGCGUACGUAGGCGGCUUAGUAAGUCGAUUGUGAAAUCCCGGGGCUUAACCUCGUGAAUUGCAACCGAAACUGCUUUGCUUGAAUUUGGUCGGGGAUGAUGGAAUUCCUAGUGUAGGAGUGAAAUCGGUAGAGAUUAGGAAGAACACCGGUGGCGAAGGCGGUCAUCUAGGCCAAUAUCGACGCUAAGGUACGAAAGCGUGGGGAGCAAACAGGAUUAGAUACCCGGGUAGUC
rnacentral:rRNA from 1 species